UACGUAGGUGGCAAGCGUUGUCCGGAUUUACUGGGCGUAAAGGGUGCGUAGGCGGACCUUUAAGUGAGAUGUGAAAUCCCCGAGCUUAACUUGGGGGCUGCAUUUCAAACUGGAGGUCUAGAGUGCAGGAGAGGAGAGUGGAAUUCCUAGUGUAGCGGUGAAAUGCGUAGAGAUUAGGAAGAACACCAGUGGCGAAGGCGACUCUCUGGACUGUAACUGACGCUGAGGCACGAAAGCGCGGGGAGCAAACAGG
rnacentral:rRNA from 1 species